UUAGUUACAGAGACGCUUUCUUUCCAUUGGAAUGGCUAACAAUGGGCAACAGUUACACUCGGCCGUAAGAAAUAAAGACAAGGAGUCCAUAGAGAGGCUCCUGGACAGCGGGGCGGACGUAAACUGCAUGGUAUAUGGCUGGACGCCGCUACAGCUUUCUCUCCAAAGAGGGUAUGAGGAGGGGGCAGUAGUUCUGAUAGACAGAGGGUGCGAUGUUCAUCUCCAUGACAAGAACAGUGUUUCACCAUUUGAGGAAUGUCUACGCAAAAAUCUGAUAAAAGUACUCACUAAAAUUGUCAACAAAGGGGAGGAUGUAAAUGCUGUUCUAUCUAACGGGGAACCCCCUGUCUGUGAAGCCGUUAAAAACGCCAGCAAAGACGUCCUGUCUGUGCUGAUUAAAGUAGGGAAAUGUAACGUGAAUACCGUUGGGAGUAAAGGAGAGAGUCCUUUAUUUACCGCCGCCAAAUCUGGAUACAGCGACAUCUGUCGACUACUCCUCGACGCAGGCGCAGAUCCAGACUUCAUUCUACCAGCCAAUCAGCAUACGCCUCUCAUUACAGCUGCGAGUAACGACAAUGAUGAUGUCAUAAAAGUACUUUUGAAGCACGGAUGUAAUGUAAAUCAUUGUGACGUCAUGGGAAAGUCUGCGUUGUGGCACGCUUAUAGUAACAGCAACACGGACAGCAUGAAACUUCUACUUAGGGCGGGGUCAGACAAGAAUAUCCCGAACGCAGAGGGACAGACGCUAUUGGACGACGCAAAGGACGCAGAAGAUGAUGACGUCAUAGAACUCCUGACAAAGUUCACCCAGUCGUGGACUUAAAUAUUAAAAGUUCACAAAAGCGAGAAGACGAUCUCAGAUGUGUUCAGUAUUCUGUCAGGGGGCCUUUCUUCUGCGGUAACACUUCCGGCAGAUUACACAGGACUUCAAUCGUGACAGGAGAACUGAUACACAGCGGGUAAUUUAUUGAAUCGUGGGGAUAAAAACCAAAUGUCACGGGUAAAAGAAUAUAACCUUUCGACAAAAUCACUUCUCUUUGUGUGCGAAAAAAAAACUGAAAAGAUUUCGUGUAGAACUGUUUGUUAAUUAUCGUAAAUU